rnacentral:tRNA from 1 species
GGCGCCGUGGUCGAGAGGCUAGGCAAGGGUUUGCAAGACCUGAUACGCGGUUCGAAUCCGUUCGGCGCCUC